AGGAUACAUCUACAACGUUUAAGACCUGGAAUUAAUUUGAAGUAUAAUGAUUCUAUGGGCACAUGUAUUAUUGAAGUGUCAGUUAAAAGCUGUCACUGAGCUUAAGGACUGCUGUAGCACCUGAAAUGAUCAGAAUCAAUUUUUGAUCUUAGGUAUAAUAGUAACCACCGAACUCAGUGGAUGUGAUCCUCAGGUGAGCGGGACCAGGAAAUACAGUUGAGUAAUUUACCAGCACUUCUUAUUCUUACACAUUUAUCAUAAUACGAUAUUUUCAUGCAGUCUAAUGUACUAUCCUGUCUUGAAUGCAAAAUAUUUCCCCAUGAUAAAAAACAUUUUAUUUAGGUGAGGGUCCUUUGAUUAUUACUUACUGGAUCAAAUGUAUUCAGUCCUAUUUAUAUACCAGGCACAGUAUAAGAUCUCAGGGACCAAAUUCUACCUUGGUGUAACUACACUGGCUUCAAAAGAGUUGGCACCACUUAAAUCAAAGAUAUGCCUCCAUGUGGUUUCUCAGCAAAACACAGCACAGCACACAGGAAAGUGGCACCUAGGAGCCCUAGACAUGGACCAUGGAUCCCAUUAUGCUAGCCACUGUACAAACAGAACAAAAAGACAGUCUUUGCCCCAAAGAGUCUACAAUCUAAGUAUAAGACAAGAGACAACUGGUGGAUACAGACAGACAGACAAACAAUGGAGCACAAGAAAAC